CUGGCGUCUAUGGAGGCAGACGGUGAUUUCGUUUCGUGGAUUUCGAAGAUGUUUGAGCCAUGGACGAACGCCUGAAUGAAAGACACCGACAGCUGUUCGUGGCCCUGUGAUCCGUGAACAUGUGGCCCCUGUCAACUGAAGAUUCUACAGUUGUGCUGGGAUAUAGCGGAUGGCUUCUGCGACUCAUCACGUGCUAUAUAUGUGUAUAGUAAUAUCUACUUUCUCCAAACCGAAUAGGUUCCCUUAAUGAUUGUAUAAUAUGAUAGUCACUCUUUCUGUUGCUCGUCACUAUUUCUUCUUUAUUUAUUCUGUAAUAAUCGUGUAGAUUUACUUGCAUUCAAAUGUUGCUUCUUGUUUAUAUGUUUACCGUGUCAAUAAAUUUGUACAUGUGAA